AACGAACGCUGGCGGCAGGCUUAACACAUGCAAGUCGAACGCCCCGCAAGGGGAGUGGCAGACGGGUGAGUAACGCGUGGGAAUCUACCUAGUUCUACGGAACAACACAGGGAAACUUGUGCUAAUACCGUAUACGCCCUACGGGGGAAGGAUUUAUCGGAAUUAGAUGAGCCCGCGUAAGAUUAGCUAGUUGGUGGGGUAAUGGCCUACCAAGGCGACGAUCUUUAGCUGGUCUGAGAGGAUGAUCAGCCACACUGGGACUGAGACACGGCCCAGACUCCUACGGGAGGCAGCAGUGGGGAAUAUUGGACAAUGGGCGAAAGCCUGAUCCAGCCAUGCCGCGUGAGUGAUGAAGGCCUUAGGGUUGUAAAGCUCUUUCAGUAGGGAAGAUAAUGACGGUACCUACAGAAGAAGCCCCGGCUAACUUCGUGCCAGCAGCCGCAGUAAGAC
rnacentral:rRNA from 1 species